rnacentral:rRNA from 1 species
UACGGGGGGGCAAGCGUUGUUCGGAAUUACUGGGCGUAAAGGGCUCGUAGGCGGCCAACUAAGUCGGAUGUGAAAUCCCCAGGCUCAACCUGGGAACUGCGUCCGAUACUGGAUGGCUUGAAUCGGGGAGGAGUGCAGAAUUCCAGGUGUAGCGGUGAAAUGCGUAGAUAUCUGGAGGAAUACCGGUGGCGAAGGCGGCAUCCUGGACCGGAUGUACGCUGAGGAGCGAAAGCCAGGGGAGCAAAGCGGG